UAAUUUGUAUUUUUUUAAUUUUACUUUUUAGUAUUUACGUUCUAAGUAAUUAGUUUUUGUAUAAUUAAAUAAUAUGUUCUUUACCCUGUAGAGUAUACAAAUUACAGAUUUAAACAGUUCUCUUUAGAUGUGGUCUUCAUCAGUCAUUCUUAUAGUCAUUGGAAACAACCGGUACAAUGUAUCGAUAAAUAAUUGAAACCAUUGCAAAAAACAAGUUAAAUUCAUGCUAUCUACAACAUUCAUAUUCAAAUCUUCAUAACUUAAAUCAUUUAGCAAGAUACACUAACUGAAGUAUACAUGUAUCCAGGCCAAUAAGGAGAUUAUUCUGUUUGGAAAAACAUCUGAAAAAACUGUUCCUACUAACAUAAUUGUUUAUCCGUCUGCAAAGAAGAGAUUCCAGAUAAAUUAAUAUAAUAGUGACUAACAUGGACUACUCAAAAAAGAUGUGUUGUUCGCAUACAAACUAAUCGCUAUCCAGCAAGCUGUCAAUAUUACUCUAUUGAUAAAUAUCUGACAAUUGAUUAUCAAACAAAGUUUGUCGGUUUAAAUGAAAUAAAAGAAAACUUGAUACAAAUAUUAUUGUGACAAUUAAUAUUAUUUUUUUUUACUUUAACUCCUUAUAAGGUGUAAAAGGCUUUUAUUUAUUGACUUUUUAAUGUGUCAACAAACUAAUUAAUUUUAUUAUUAUUUUUACACUAUUUAAAUCAAAUUUCAUCUAUAAAAACAAAA